rnacentral:miRNA from 1 species
AUACCCCGCAUCUCCACCA